rnacentral:lncRNA from 1 species
AGGGAAUGGUGCUGCAUCAUCUAAGAAAUAGGAACUCUUGUGUUUCCCUAAUUCUUCUUAAGUUGUGCCGGGGGAUGUUCAGAUUGGGUAGUAGGAAAAGUUUCUUCUCAGAAAGAGUGGUGAUGCAUUGGAACAGGCUGCCCAGGAAGGUGGUGGACUCACUGUCUCUGGAGGUAUUUAAGAAAAGAGUAGAUGUUGCACUGAGUGUCACGACUUAGUGAUACAGUGGGGAUGGGAUGAUUGUUGGACUAGAUGAUCUUAGUGGUCUUUCCAACCUAAAUGAUCCUAUGAUUCUUUUUCUCUGGUGUCCCAUCAGUAUCUCAUUAGGCCAGCACACAUGGGAGAGAGGCUCUGAAGAAAUCCCCCUGAUCUCAUGGCACAACUUACUAUUUUGCAAGUAAAUCCAGCCCUUGGGAACUGAGGGUGCUUUCCUGAAAAACAGUUUCUUCCUACUUUGUUGUUUGGGACAUGCUGUAUAAACUCUGGUAGAGGCUGCAUAACAUAUUAGUAAAGACACACAGAACUGACACUGUGCUCCAGCUUACAUCAGUGUUGCCAUGCAGUAGAAAAUACUUCCUCACCUCCAAAAAAGUUGUUCAUGGACAUUCUGCUGACCCAAGGAGAACGUUCUUUGACAUUUUUCAUCUCUACCAGCAGCAAGGUUGUUGUGAAAAUUACCUCAGCUGAAACAGUUUACAAGCAAGAGAUUAGCUGGAAGUAAGGUCACCUGGGAAGAACAUCCCACCUCCAACUUUUCUAUGAGACUUCAAAUCUGUGGCUGUAGGGGAGGUUCUAGUGGUGGGUGCAAACAGGAAAAGGUGCAGAAGAUGAAGUUCACGUUUCUGUUAGCAGUAUUGUACCAAAUCAUUCCCAAGUGGUAUAGACUGCUGAGGAUUGCUUUUGUUCAGGCUGAGCUCGGUGUUUCCUCUUUGCAUCCUCAGGAUGACAGGCUCACGUUGAAGGAAAGCUGUUGUCUGCAUGGUCCUGGCCUUCAGACAUGCUUGGGGAGAAAAUAACUCUAUGCAACCUCCUUUUCCUAGGACUCUCAGCAACCAGCUUUGCCUGUCUACAAGCCAACAUGCAGCUUAAGCUUGUCAGACUUGCUCUCUCCUAAGUCAAUAGUGGAGAGCAAAAAACACUAACAGGAGAUUCCUGACAUCCAAGGGUAGCACAGCACUCUGCGGAUGCCUAUCUGUAUCUAGUGAUGAUAGAAAAAGUCCAACAGACUAAAUAUGUGGCUGAUUGUUGAGUUCUCUUGUGGGCUGGAGAGAACUCAUGUCUUGACCUAGUGUUCCACAUCCCGUAAGCUGCACCCAGAGGAGCUCUCUGGAUUUGUUUCCCACCCAGUGAAAGAGGCAGUCACCAGAUCACGACCCUUUCUCAGAGAUUUUUCUCAGAUUUGUUCUUACGUGAGUCACUGUGUCUUGAAAGCUAUCUCAAGCAAUAGUCACUUAUAUCUUAAUGCCUUCCAGACCCAUUUCAUUUCUUCCCAAGCCAUCCUUUGCUUCACUGCCAUUUUUCUUUAUUUCUUCUACAAACCCAGUUUGCUUCAGACCAGGCCUUCCCAGCCUGUUGAGACCUCUGUACGCUCUUCUAUCUUUUAAUACACACAGCACGUAGAUAAGUGCGAGUCUGAAAAGUUUAUUUUAAGAGAUAGCAGAAACCAGUGAUUCCUGGAACGUUUAAUAUGAGCAGGGUAUCGUUGCCCUGUAAAUAAACACAUUAAGCAGGCUGCA